GGAUCACUUGAACCCAGGAGGUUGAGCCUGCAGUGAGCCAAGAUGGUGCCACUGCACUCCAGCCUGGGUGACAAAAGUGAGAC
rnacentral:miRNA from 1 species